rnacentral:lncRNA from 1 species
GUGAAUUGAAACCCAUCAAUUUCCUUGGUGUGAAUUUAAUACAUUUUUUCUGCUUUUUAGAAGUAUUAGGUCAAUAUUGAAAAUUAUUGGGUUAUAACACUAUAGUAUAACUUCUACUUUAGUGAUUAAUAUUGAGGAUGUGAUUAUAGCCAACACUGAGCUCAUGAGAAAGGCAAAAGAUGAACCAGUUUACUGAAUCUACCUGAAAAGUCUGAAUGUGGAUAAAUUAUCUUUAUUUUUACCUUAUUAGCUGAAAAAUGUUUAAAUCAGCAUUUAGUAUACUGUUCUUGUUGUAAAAAAGUUCAUUUUUACAUUUGGCUUAGCUUAUUUUCACUAAUAGUACUUUAUAAUGGAACACUUUAAUUUUAGAAUGUCUAUAAUGGAAAGAUGGAAAGAAGCCACACUUGUGGACAUGUGAAUUGAAAACUCAGAUUAUUUUGAAUAUUUUUGUAUUUUUAGCAAAAGAUUUUACCAGCUAGCUGACAUUGUAUGUUAUAAGAUGUUCUUUAGACACAGAUUUCUGGCCAAGGAGAAAGUUUAUUAUAUCAUAGUAAUCUUAUUUUGCAUCUCACAAUUAAUAACAGACACUUACCUUGGCAAUGAUAUAGUACAUAAUUAUAUUCAUAGUUGACUUACAAAAGUGGAUCAAUUAAUAACUUUAUGGCACAAGUACAAUUAAAUCCAUAAUUAAAAAUAAAGCUUAAUUCCACUUUGCCCUGGAGAACAUAUGUUUCCUAAUUGCAGUGUUCCAGAGAUCAUCCAGUAGGAAGGUGAGUGUGUGUGUGUCUAAAAGAAGAAAUAAGUGAAUAAUUACUGGAGGUAUUUAGAAUGUUUAUUCUGAAGUUUAGAAUACUUAGGGGAGAUAUUUCAGAUGUCUUAAAAUAUUUCAAAGUUCAUAAUUCAGAACAGGAACUAUACUUAUGUAUUGUUUCUCCAGGGGCCAGAAGUUACAGGAAGGAAAUUUUGAAUAAACAGAAGGAAGACCUUGCUCAUCGAAAUCUGUCCAAUUGUGAGACAGGUUAUCUUGUAAAACAGUGAGUGCCUCAUCACUAAAAAUAUUAAUGUCAAGGUCAGGCAACAGUGUCAUUGGUGGUAUAGAAAGCGUUUUU